rnacentral:rRNA from 1 species
AUGAACGCUGGCGGCGUGCCUAAUCCCUGCAAGUCGAGCGAACAGACGAGGAGCUUGCUCCUCUGACGUUAGCGGCGGACGGGUGAGUAACACGUGGAUAACCUACCUAUAAGACUGGGAUAACUUCGGGAAACCGGAGCUAAUACCGGAUAAUAUAUUGAACCGCAUGGUUCAAUAGUGAAAGACGGUUUUGCUGUCACUUAUAGAUGGAUCCGCGCCGCAUUAGCUAGUUGGUAAGGUAACGGCUUACCAAGGCAACGAUGCGUAGCCGACCUGAGAGGGUGAUCGGCCACACUUGAACUGAGACACGGUCCAGACUCCUACGGGAGGCAGCAGUAGGGAAUCUUCCGCAAUGGGCGAAAGCCUGACGGAGCAACGCCGCGUGAGUGAUGAAGGUCUUCGGAUCGUAAAACUCUGUUAUUAGGGAAGAACAAAUGUGUAAGUAACUAUGCACGUCUUGACGGUACCUAAUCAGAAAGCUACGGCUAACUACGUG